AUCACACAUAUCAUAUAACAGGGCCAAAACGUGUAGACAGUGAGGAACAAGCAGAAAAAUAUGAACCCAGAGGAAAAACCAUGAUGCUAGCCUAUGGAGCAUUCAUCAUCAAAAGUUUCCUGUAUGGCCUUUUCAUCCUGGUGUUCAUCAGAAGACAGCGUUUCACCUCAAAAUAAAGGAGAUCAGAGCCAUGUGAUCCUGAGUGAGAGCUGACAUUUUGUCACGUGACAGAAGAGGAUCCAUGAAGGGCACCAUUUUAAGAUGAGCUUUGUGUAUAAAUGCAUGAUUAUUGUAUACUGUAUACUGUGUUUUGCCAUCACUAGUGUACUUCGCAAUUCUGCCCUUCUUUGUGUUACACUGUGUACUCAUUUGAUUUAUCAGUAGCUUUGUUAGCCAAAUGUAAGUCCUAUUUGUAGAAUAAUAAUAGCACAUACAUUGUCACUGUUGGAGCAAAAUGUUGUGUCUCCAAAAUGAUAACUUUUCAAAAUAAGGAAAAAAAUAUGUACAUUUAGUACAAAAGAGUGGCAAAAGAGAUUCUUUCAGGUGAUGCACUUCUAGAAAAUGUUUCAAUGGUCAAAUCUUCAGAGAACUUCAGAGGAUUUUUGUGAUAAAUGUGAAGAAACCUUUUCAAAGAUUAAAUAAUCUCCCCAUAAUGUGAAGGUUCUAGGCAGAACCUUUGAGUGAAAUAGGAUCUUUGCAUUAUGGUUCAGGUAUUGCCAUAUCUGUUCUUCAAACCUGGUUCUUUAGGGAACCAAACAUGUUUUUUCUACUACCUUAAAGAGACAUUGUGGCACAUUUAUUAUUGAGAGUAUAAGUAAAUGCAAAAGGAUUUUAUUUCAAAUUGUUGGACUCAUAUUGGCCCAUUUGUCAUAGAAUAUUUACACAAUGUACAUGCCAGCUAACAUUUUAAAUUAAAUGGCAAAAAAAACCCACCUUUAAAUAGGGAGCUGUUCCUACAGCGGCAAAAUGUACAAUCAUUUAUUUUUUUUAAUUCUUCUUUUAGCGCGAUAAGCAUUGUUAAAGCUUGUGAAAUCUUGUUGUUUUC